rfam:Acidibacillus ferrooxidans strain ITV001 contig0063, whole genome shotgun sequence.
UAACCGCUGGUGAGAAUCGGCGCUGAACGGACAGGAGUCAGCAGACGUCAUAGUACGCGACGGUGCGCACGUCGCGGAAGGAC